AUAACUGUGUCGUUCAUCGUCAGAUUUUAAAAUCAUUUAUCACAUUUGUUCACCAUCAUUGGACGGUGUGUCGCGCGAAAUAAUUACGUCGAUAUCUCCAAGGUCAAGGUCACACUUUGAGUUCAAAGGUCAAAAAUGGCCAUAAAUGAGCUUGUCCUGGCCAUAACUAUGUCAUUCAUUGUGAGAUUUUAAAAUCAUUUGGCACAUUUGUUCACCAUCAUGGGACGGUGUGUCCCACGAAAGAAUCACGUCAAUAUCUCCAAUGUCAAGGUCGCCACGACUAAAAAUAGAUUUAAAAAAAAAAAAAAACUUACAAAGGGGGUUAAUUUUUUUUUGGUCAUUUCAAAAGUUCAUUUGAGUUUUCUCCCUUUAUCAGAUUUUUUUUUCACAAUGAAAACCUGGUUUUGUGACAAUUUUGUCCCUUGUUUAAACAUCAUAUAAUAAAUAACCACACCGCACAUUAUAACCCCCUCUCACCCUCACCUCUCUCGCCCUAAAAAAAAACGAUUUUUUUUCUUUUUUAUGACCCCCUUCGAAGAAGAGGGGGUAUAUUGCUUUGCUCAUGUCGGUCGGUCGGUCGGUUGGUCGGUCCGUCCACCAGGUGGUUGUCAGACGAUAACUCAAGAACGCUUGGGCCUAGGAUCAUGAAACUUCAUAGGUACAUUGAUCAUGACUUGCAGAUGACCCCUAUUGAUUUUGAGGUCACUAGGUCAAGGUCACGGUGACCAGAAAAAGUAAAAUGGUUUUUGAACGAUAACUCAAGAACGCAUACGCCUAGGAUCAUGAAACUUCAUGGGUAGAUUGAUCAUGACUUGCAGAUGACCCCUAUGGAUUUUGAGGUCACUAGGUCAAAGGUCAAGGUCACGGUGACCCGAAAUAGUAAAAUGGUUUCCGGAUGAUAACUCAAGAACGCAUACGCCUAGGAUCAUGAAACUUCAUAGGUAGAUUGAUCAUGACUCGCAGAUGACCCCUAUUGAUUUUGAGGUCACUAGGUCAAAGGUCAAGGUCACAGUGACCCGAAAUAGUAAAAUGGUUUUCGGAUGAUAACUCAAGAACGCAUACGCCUAGAAUCAUGAAACUUCAUAGGUAGAUUGAUCAUGACUUGCAGAUGACCGCUAUUGAUUUUGAGGUCACAAGGUCAAAGGUCAAGGUCACGGUGACCUGCAAUAGUAAAAUGAUUUUCGGAUGAUAACUCAAGAACGGUUUUGCCUAGGAUCAUGGCACUUCAUAGGUACAUUGAUCGUGACUCGCAGAUGACCCCUAUUGAUUUUCAGGUCACUAGGUCAAAGGUCAAGGUCACAGUGACAAAAAUCGUAUUCACACAAUGGCUGCCACUACAACGGACAGCCCGUAUGGGGGGCAUGCAUGUUCUACAAACAGCCCUUGUUUUAAAUUUAAAUUAAUACAAUAAUUGAUUGUAGUACAUUAGUAGAAGUAUGUGUAGCUAUUUAGCAAUAUAGUGACUAUGUUGUAAUAAAUAAGUUCAAUUAACAUUCCAUACACAAAAUAAUCAGCAUAGCAAUGUAUUGUGAUUUGUUUGUGUUAGUGGAUUGAGGUUUUAUAUUCAUAUUUUUAAAUAAAAUUGUGACAUUUGAA